GACGAACGCUGGCGGUGUGCUUAACACAUGCAAGUCGAACGGAAAGGCCCCUUUGGGGGUACUCGAGUGGCGAACGGGUGAGUAACACGUGAGUAACCUGCCCUUGACUUCGGGAUAACUUCAGGAAACUGGGGCUAAUACCGGAUAGGAAUCCUUGCUGCAUGGUGGGGGUUGGAAAGCUUCGGCGGUUUUGGAUGGACUCGCGGCUUAUCAGCUUGUUGGUGGGGUAGUGGCUUACCAAGGCUUUGACGGGUAGCCGGCCUGAGAGGGCGACCGGCCACAUUGGGACUGAGAUACGGCCCAGACUCCUACGGGAGGCAGCAGUGGGGAAUAUUGCACAAUGGGCGGAAGCCUGAUGCAGCAACGCCGCGUGCGGGAUGACGGCCUUCGGGUUGUAAACCGCUUUCAGCAGGGGCGAAGCUUGUGGUGACGGUACCUGCAGAAGAAGCACCGGCUAACUACGUG
rnacentral:rRNA from 1 species